GGAAGGUCUGUCAUUCUGUGGUAGAGCAUCUGCUUUGCCUGCAGAAGGUCCCAGAUUCAACCCCUGGCAUCUCCG